rnacentral:rRNA from 1 species
CCUACGGGAGGCAGCAGUGGGGAAUAUUGGGCAAUGGGCGCAAGCCUGACCCAGCAACGCCGCGUGAAGGAAGAAGGCCCUCGGGUUGUAAACUUCUUUUAUUCGGGACGAAACAAAUGUCGGUUCCGAAUUAAUAAGCCACGGCUAACUACGGGCCAGCAGCCGCGUUAAUACGUAGGUGGCACGCGUUAUCCGGAUUUACUGGGUGUAAAGGUCGUGUAGGCGGGAGGGCAAGUCAGACGUGAAAUUCCAGGGCUCAACCCUGGAACUGCGUUUGAAACUGUUCUUCUUGAGUGAGGGAGAGGCAGGCGGAAUGCCGUGUGUAGCGGUGAAAUGCGUAGAUAUACGGAGGAACACCAGUGGCGAAGGCGGCCUGCUGGACAUUAACUGACGCUGAGGCGCGAAAGCGUGGGGAGCAAACAGGAUUAGAUACCCCUGUAGUC